rnacentral:rRNA from 1 species
CGAGGAGGGAGGGCUAGGGGUAGGAGAGCAGGUGUUGGGAUCGGGGAAGGGGAGCUAGGAGUACCGGGUAGGGAGGAGGAACGAGCAGUGACGGCGAUGGACGACGAGGGAGAGGUGGUAGCACGGACGAAUAACUAGUGUUAUAGGGGAGAUGGACUAACUCUAGCCCGCAUCCAAUCCGCUCGGGCUACCACCCAACCCACUCCGAUAUCCCUCUCCCUCCUCCGGCCGCCGCACCACUUCCUCAACUGAACGGGAGCACCUCCGCCGCGGUAGCCGGUCCCUGCCGUAAACGAGCAGCCUGCUGCAGGCUCGAGCAGAGUGGGAGUGUCGCUGCUGGUUGUUGAGUUCAUCCUUCCCACUCCCCGGUAGUUCUAGAUCGGGUCCCGUACGAGGGACCGCGGGCGUGUAUCUCCUGACCGGCGACCAGCGGCCAACCAGGAGGACAAGAGAGGAGCACGGUGGCAGGACGUGGAGGAGGUAGGGAGCUAAGUCGUUUCCGCUACCUCUAGUUCUUGGCCCCGCCGUGUGUAACAGGAGGAUAAAGAGGAUGGUGGUUGGGAUCUCUACCGUCGCCGUUCCUCAACUCGGUCCACAGAGCUACUCCACCAGGUACGACUCCUUCUCCCGCAGGUAUACCAAACAAAAGGAAAACCAAAAGGAACGAAUGGACUAGACUAAAACACCAGUUUUGUUCCCGACUGAGGCACAGACCAGACUAAACGACUAAAAGGAGAAGGUCAAGGACAAGUACCGGAACAACACCAACGUGGUACCAGGCAUCCCUUGUUCUUGUGGUGAUGAUGUUGGGUUCAGACCUGUACUGUAGAGAUACACUGACGUAUAAAUUAAACAUGUAGAUAAACCAACGUGUGAUGUAUAAACCAGAAAAAAUGUAAAUAAAAACUGAAGUAAACGCCGAUCGACUGACGUCGUACGAAAUGACUGAGUAGAUACCUGUGUGUUCAGUUCCUUUUGGUAUACUCAGAUAAAGCUGACGAACGGUGCCCUUUCACGGGUGAUCUAAGUAUAAACGAACUUGGUACUAGUAUGGUAAUUUUACACAUUGAUACAUACCUAGUUGUUUCAAAUGUAAAGCACGUAAUUCGACCAAUCCGGGGAAAGUCACAACAAGCUGGUUAAUCUGUGAACAAUAGGAUAGAUUUUACCAUCAAGUCGAAAGUUAUUAAUCUAAUAUUUAACCACAUACAAAUAAUACGGAACAGCAAAGAAAGGGGAAUAAGAAUUGCUAACUAAUGGAAACAAGGAUCUAGGACAUCCGACAUCGACCGGAAGGAAAACGAUCCUAAAAAAAGAAGGUUUAAACUAUUACAUUGGACGAUUUCGUACUAGUUGUCUAAACAGAUUGGUUAAUUGUAGAGAGUAAUUAACACUCUUGGUUCGGUUACUUUUACCCGUACUUAGCCAGAACAGUUUCAGAUGAUAAGUCACGAACGUAUACAAUCUAACGACUACAAGUGUUUUGACGUACAUGGAAAACGGUUGUUUUAACAACUACUUAACGUCUAAAUCUUUUAAUCAAACCGUAUCGAGUUUUGAUAAAAGGAACUGAGUUUAGUUCCAACAAGCUAUAGUACUUUAUUCGUUGUACGGAGAACGCUUUGGUAUAAAAUUUAAACGUUAAACCUUUGACCCAAAAACAAAGAGCGCGGAAAAGAAAAUUUUGUAGUGGUCUUGAAUCCCAGUGUUAAUUAUCAUUCCACGUUAGAGUCAGUAAAUCACUGUAUGAAGUCAAGUCUGAAACGUCUCGGUCUCAACAAAUAAUUAUGAAAGGCAAUGUAACGGGCGUAGACAUAUGUAUUCAAGAAUACAAAAAUCUUGUGAGAUCGAUCCGAAUUGAUAAAGACAACUGUUUAGUGUAAGAAUAGAAUUUUAUGUAGCUACUAAUGACCUCAAGGUCUCUUUGUAAGAAAAAUAACAAAGGUCUCUAGUUCUAUAGCGCUUGGUAAGUACCCUAAGUUUCCCUACACGUUGUAUACACCACGGAAUAAGUUCGAUUCGGCCCAAUAACUUCGCGGUAUAAUCACAAAGAAUAAUAGAUGGAACUACGGUAUGAUUAAAGACACUAAGGUUUUAACGACCGUGGUGAAGGAUAACGGACAACCACGUUCCUGGGUGCGGAAGCUAUACUCUUUACAUUUCCUACCUAGUUAACCGUAACGGUCCAGUACAAAUCAAGAAACAGAGAGUUUGCUGUACGUAGAGAGUUGUGUUAUGAUCCAAUUACUUGACGAUUUCGAUGUUACAUCUACGUAACACUGAAAUAAAAGAUCCAUGAUUGAAGUCUACAGGUUAAACAAUGGACAUGGUUACAUAGGAGUCCUAUAACUGAAAUGUAUUUGUUAGACGACGUAUGAUUACAUAUAAAAAUGUGUUCGAUAGGAGCUACAAACAAAGCGAAACCGUAAGGGUUGUAGUGUAUCAUUACGAACGUCGAAGAAACCCUUCCACCGUGAUUAUGUAUGUAAGUUGAAUGAGUUCAAGCUUUUGACGAGGAGAACUGGACAAAGUCGAAACACCCACUCACUUACGUACUACUACCGUCGAACCACAAGCGUAUUAUGUUCCCUUCCUCGAUAACUCGGUUGAGAGUACAUGAAGUGUACUCGACUUUCUCCAGUUCACGAUUAGCGUUACAUACGAUUUAGAAUUCGUAAGUAGUCAUAAAAACGAGACCAGAUACAGUCAACUGAGAGGGUACAACAACAGCAUUGAUAGUCUAUAACACACAGAAACUUUGAAAUACUUAAGAUCCUAAAAGAAACAUCACUAUAGCACUUUAAUCACACAGAGACACAGUGACAAAAACAUUACAAACGGAAAAUAAGUUAUAAUUGGCUUCGUUCUCUAAGACUUCUUCUCUGAGUAUCUAUGAGAAAGGAAUAUGAACAGUAGUUUAACCACACGUAGUUUGACUUCAUAAACACCAAAUACAUUAAAAAAUCAAUAUUACACGUAGAAUUAAAUAGUAACGAUAUCACACACGUCAAGACUCUCUUUUCCUUUCAUUAUUCGAUACCUUCUAAAACACUUUUGAAAAAGGGAGCGAAUACUUCUAAAACCAGAAAACUAAAACUAAAUACUACAUACUAAUGAUGCAUGAAACUAUAAACUAGAGAAAUAAUGAAGGGGACUAACUUUUUUCAUCGCACCGAAAUCAGUAAAUCUAGGAAUUGAUUUGAUAUUUCAGAUCUGUGAAAAAGACCAAACCACUCAUCAACUAAGACUGGAUUCUUUACGUUUAUAAAAGCUUCGUGAGUGGCAAAUUUACCCUGAGAACGUUAAACCGCGUUGGCCAGUAGAAUUGAUCAAAUGUGUACGACAAUCCAUAUGUAUAAAAAGAUUUGGUCUUACACAAAAUUGUGAAAAAAUUAUCUGUGGUUUGAUACACAAAAAAUUUGUGAUAAAAAUUGUGUAUGGUUUUAUAUACAAAACAAAAAUACGAAUUCCUAGAUUUAAGAAUCGCACAUAUAAAAGAGUUUGUAUUCUAACGACUUUUCUAUGUCCAUAAAGGUUGUACUGUACUACAACUUACCCCGAGAGACGAUGGUUUAAUUUUACACAUAUAUGCAGAGUAACAUAUGUUGUUCGGUAGUAAAAAAGAUAAUUUCCUUUAAUUUAAACAACGGUAUACACGAUCGGGUGUUGAUUAUUUGGUUGUAUUGGCCGAAAACAAAACUUACGUUCAUACACGAUAGUUUGAUUUUACACAUAUAUGUAGAGUGAUACCUGUUCUUCGGUGGUAAAAAAGAAAGUUCCCUUAAUUUAAACCACGGUAUACACGAACGGGUAUUGAUUUUAUUGGCUUGGUACCUAAAAUAAAAGUUUACACAUGUACUUAAGUUGCCCAGAGACGCGGUAAACCGCGUUGCUCAGUUGAUCAUGAUCGGAUUACUAACGUAUCAAAACGAACAACAUCAUACAAACAUACUUUGGGAGACGACAAGUAAUACGAGGGAUUCUGAAAUUAACUCGAUGUCUUACCGAUUGACCAACGAAUGAAUAUGCGUUACACGACGGAUUUGAACAGACACAAAACCUAACCCGGGGUUGUAGUACGAGGAAACCACUCGAUUCUCUCUAAAGACAUACGUCCGACGUGUCUGAUAGAAAAAAAGUUAAUAAUUUUAUAGUGGACGAAUACGAAGUACUGUACAUUGUAAUAACAAUCAGUACAAAACGGUACAUCAUGUUUUAUCACAGAACGAACGAAGUGACAACAUUGAUAUAAAAACGGGAUCAGUACACAUGAAUGUCUUUGUAAAGUCCUACUUCACUACUAUGCAGAGGCAGCAUAGAUAUUAAAAACUAACAAGGUACGGUUAUAAGAAGUUGAAAGUAUAUGAAAACCGUUGAAAAAUAUGAUAAAAAACCCUGAUUGUAUAACUAGGUCACGGUUCACGGUCAAGGACAAACAACGUAUAAAAUACAAAGUGUCUUUGGGGUAUAGUUUACCUCAGGUUUGCCCUAUUUUUUUCUGCCUCGUAAUAAAACCUUAUAAACACUAAAAACCCUCCUUCUUAGUUGCGCUCUGCUACAGGUUCCACCGGUGCUCUAUCCCCGGGUGCGGGUGAAUUUCACCCGCGCGGGGGUGGGAGCACCCGGUGGGUAUUCCACCAACUACGGGAAGAAACCGACGUUCUUUCGAUUAAAAACCUUUUGCUAGAGCCGCUUCCAAAGUUAGGUUAGUCUCAAUACCUAGAGAUCUAUAUUUCCUUUGCCACGGUCCCGUCUUAAGGUCUUGCGUCUUUGUCUCUCUAUCUAGGUUAGAGCCUCCCCGAGAGCGGGGAGGGUACGGUACCCUCGGUUCCUGGUCUCCCCUUUGGGAAGAGGGUAGAUCCCUCUUCCAGUUCCUUAUUCUUGUUCUUCCCCCCGAGGGAGGGGGAACGAAGGCCACCGCGGCCUUGCGGCGGCCCCCGGUAGUAGUAGUGGCGCUAGAAGUGGUUGUGGAGGUAGUAGAAGUGGUUGUAGAGGUAGUGGAAGAGUGUAGAAAUAAGUAGCCAGGUGAGAGGGCGUUGGGCGACAUGGGAG